AGGAAACUUCGACAGGGAGAUCUGUACCCCAGCCCGCUCCACCGAGCGCACCAAGGUGCCUGAUUUGGCAGCUAUGGAGGCCAUCACCAAGGUCCUGCGAGUUUGAAGGAGCAGAAGGUCCAAGGGCCUGCCCACCAAGGCCGCCAAGGUGAAGUGCGAAUCCAAGUUCGAAGCUGUGAAGCAUAUCAACAAAGACUAUCAUAUUAUGUGUUGUAAAUGUAGGCAGUAGUAGGCUUAUCUGGGCUGUAGUAUACUGUAACGUUUGUAAUAGACUAGUGCCGUGUUGUUUUGGACGAAUUUCAUUUGCUAUUUGGAUUGUUUGAAAUAAUGAUUGUGUAUGUGAUUUGAAUACCCGUCAAAUGGAAACCUGACAAGGGGGU